rnacentral:rRNA from 1 species
CGUGGGUAACCUGCCCAAGAGACUGGGAUAACACCUGGAAACAGAUGCUAAUACCGGAUAACAACACUAGACGCAUGUCUAGAGUUUAAAAGAUGGUUCUGCUAUCACUCUUGGAUGGACCUGCGGUGCAUUAGCUAGUUGGUAAGGUAACGGCUUACCAAGGCAAUGAUGCAUAGCCGAGUUGAGAGACUGAUCGGCCACAUUGGGACUGAGACACGGUCCAAACUCCGUACGGGAGGCAGCAGCC